GCGUUGGUGGUUUAGUGGUAAAAUUAGCCGUUGCCAAGGUAUUGCGAAAUACUCAGCAUCGGCUAGCCCCGGGUUCGAUUCCCGGCCGACGCA